CUGAAUUCUGGCACUAAUAUCCUGUACUGGAGAACUACUAGAGCCACACUCGGCUCUAAAGCAGUCAAACCUGUAGUCUUGAAGAACAUACGGAUUGAAGGUGUGGCGUACACAUCAGAAUGUUUUCCAUGUAACCCUGGGACAUUCAGUUGCGCCCCGGGCUCCUCCUCCUGUGAGCCCUGUCCACGGGACACGUACUCUGGCCGAGGGGCCAGCUCCUGCACACCUUGCAACACAAAAACACACUUCGCUUCAGAAGGCUCUGCCGCGUGCAAAAGUAGACCGCCAUGCUCAGAAAAAGACUACAUCCAGACAUACAGCACCUGUGAUAAGGAU